UCGGGAAUUUUGGGCAAUGGGCGAAAGCCCUGACCCAGCAACGCCGCGUGAAGGAUGAAGUAUUUCGGUAUGUAAACUUCGAAAGAAUAGGAAGAAUAAAUGACGGUACUAUUUUAUAAGGUCCGGCUAACUACGUGCCAGCAGCCGCGGUAAUACGUAGGGACCAAGCGUUGUUCGGAUUUACUGGGCGUAAAGGGCGCGUAGGCGGCAAUUCAAGUCAUCUGUGAAAUCUCCGGGGCUUAACUCGGAACGGUCAGAUGAUACUGCUUUGCUAGAGUGCAGAAGGGGCAAUCGGAAUUCUUGGUGUAGCGGUGAAAUGCGUAGAUAUCAAGAGGAACACCUGAGGUGAAGACGGGUUGCUGGGCUGGACACUGACGCUGAGGCGCGAAAGCCAGGGGAGCAAACGGGAUUAGAUACCC
rnacentral:rRNA from 1 species